GUGAGGAAUAUUGGUCAAUGGGCGGGAGCCUGAACCAGCCAAGUCGCGUGUAGGAAGAAGGAUCUAUGGUUCGUAAACUUCUUUUGCAGGGGAAUAAAGUGCAGGACGUGUCCUGUUUUGUAUGUACCCUGAGAAUAAGGAUCGGCUAACUCCGUGCCAGCAGCCGCGGUAAUACGGAGGAUCCGAGCGUUAUCCGGAUUUAUUGGGUUUAAAGGGUGCGUAGGUGGUUUGAUAAGUCAGCGGUGAAAGUUUGCAGCUUAACUGUAAAAAUGCCGUUGAAACUGUCGGACUUGAGUGUAAAUGAGGUAGGCGGAAUGCGUGGUGUAGCGGUGAAAUGCAUAGAUAUCACGCAGAACUCCGAUUGCGAAGGCAGCUUACUAAGCUACAACUGACACUGAAGCACGAAAGCGUGGGGAUCAAACAGGAUUAGAUACCCUAGUAGUCC
rnacentral:rRNA from 1 species